UACAGCGCGCGAGCAGACUCCCUCCUCCUCGCCAAAACACACACACACAGAUACGCAAUCUGUUCCUUGCUUCUUACCCAGUGCGCCCACGUACACAACCCAAACAUCUAUAUAUGUAGUAGAUCUGGCCAUAUAUAUAUAUAUAUAUAUCUUCAUGUGUGCGUGUGUGCCUUGCCGAGAUCAAGUCCGUGAAAUACCGUGAAAGAGGCCACUUAACCGUUUCAUGAGUUGUUCAGUGUUUGUCUGUGCUGUGAAAGUUGCCUUGUGCAUUUUUCUUUUUUUGUGUGUGUGGGAGGGGGGGCUCUUUGUACGCGCGGAGGCGCUUGAACCCUUAAAGGUUCUCAUCGCUCGCGUCGCUACUCCCUCUCUCUACCGAGCCAAGGAUCUUUUUUUUUUUCGCAGCACCCGCUUUUUCUUUUGUUCAGCCAUGCAGCCGCGUAAGACGCACACCUCGCUUCAUCUCCGCCAGGAGGCCGUUACGAUACAAUGGAAUGCGGGGCAGGAAGGCGGCUCUGUUCUGCUUCUCAGUGGAAAAGUAGAGCUGUUUCGUAGUUCACUGACGCGCAACUUGCGCUACGCCUUUCCGGCGGAGGCGUGCAUUGUGCUGGAGGCCUUUGGUGACGCCGUUGUGCAGAUCGACGGAGACGCAAUCACCGUGCAGACCCCGAUAAGCGGUGCUCUCGAUGAGAUCCACGCGCUGCUAGACACUGCACGCGUGGAUGCAAUGCUGGCCAUUGACGAGCGCAGCAAGAAAUCCCUGUCCAGCUCCGAGGAGCUCAAAGACUCUUGGCAGGGCCCUCGUGUGCUUGUUGUCGGCGAGAACCAGUGGGAGAGGGAGGUGGUGUCGCGAGCACUGCUCAACCUCGCGGUUCGCCACGGUAGCCCGUACGGCAUCUGCUACGUGGACGUGGAUGUGGCGAUGCCUAUGGUGGGCUGUCCAGGUACGGUGUCGGCUGCGUUUGUGGAAGAACCGGUGACAGCUCCGGAGGACUUUUCUGUGAUGAUGCCGCUGACGUUUUUCCACGGCGCGGCCUCUGUCACGAGUGCGACGCGGAAGCGCUACUUGGAUCUGUGCGUCUGUGCGGCGCAAGCGGCCACCUCGCUCGGGUUCGCCAACUCCAAGUUUGAAGCGGGCGGCUUCUUGAUCCACUCCUUGUCCCCUUCCACCGACAUUCAGCACGACGUGCUGAGCGACGUCCUCUCCAUUUUCGCCGUCACGCACGUCGUCGUCACCGGCGCAGAUUGGGAGCUGGAAAAGUUUCUGAACAACGCUGUCGUGGGCCGCACAGUGCACUUUGUGCGGCUGCCGAAGCUGGCGGGUGGGCAGUCGCCCAGCGCCGCCGGGGCGGAGCAGCGUCGGCGCGCGCAGUUGGAGCACUACUUUUUUGGCACCCCACGUACUCCUCUGAUGCCGGUGCGCGGUGUGGCACGAAUGUCGGAGUUGGUGCUCCUCCACGCGGAGACAUUCGAGCCACUGAGCUGGAGAGAGGUGCCGGACCUGGGUCUUGCCGCGGUCGUCUGGGCCGACACGGCUGCGUCUGCCGUGGAGGCGAACGUCGCGGGGUUUGUCGCCUUGCUGGAGGUCGGAAAGCAGUUUGUCAGCUUCCUCGCUCCAUCGGGUGGCGAGCUGCCCAAGCCGUUUUUGGUGGUCUCGCCGUCCCUGCACCUACCACGGGAACUGGUGAUGCCCCUCCCGGUAACGUAGUGGGCAACCGGAUACUGAGCGCACACGCGGAAGAGUGUCCCACGCAUCUCGUGCGCCUGCGCCUGCCAGGAGCACAGACACAAGUGCCCCUAUGACAGGCGCGGCUUGUGGCCCCAGCAACAACAAACGAACAUCCCGUCAAACAGAAGAGUGCCACGCUUCAGCUCCUUUCGCUCUGCUGCGUUGCGGCUGCCCUCAGCGAUGCGGAGGACUCGGCGCCACGCACACGGCUACGGACGCGCCUUUUGAUGGGUGCCGUGCUUGAAGGAUGUGGCCAUCAAGCAUAGCAGACGAAGCGGAGAAGCGAAGCAAAAGAGG
rnacentral:misc_RNA from 1 species